UACGUAGGGGGCAAGCGUUGUCCGGAUUUAUUGGGCGUAAAGGGCGCGUAGGUGGCGCCGCAAGUCGGUGGUGAAAGCUCGAUGCUUAACAUCGAGUCGGCCAUCGAAACUGCGGGGCUCGAGCACUGUAGGGGCAGAUGGAAUUCCGGGUGUAGCGGUGAAAUGCGUAGAUAUCUGGAGGAAUACCGGUGGCGAAGGCGGCAUCCUGGACCGACAUUGACGCUGAUGAGCGAAAGCUAGGGGAGCAAACGGG
rnacentral:rRNA from 1 species